rnacentral:rRNA from 2 species
AAAUUGAAGAGUUUGAUCAUGGCUCAGAUUGAACGCUGGCGGCAGGCCUAACACAUGCAAGUCGAACGGUAACAGAAAGCAGCUUGCUGCUUUGCUGACGAGUGGCGGACGGGUGAGUAAUGUCUGGGAAACUGC